CUGGAGGUAUCAGAAGUGCGAAUGCUGACAUAAGUAACGAUAAAGCGGGUGAAAAGCCCGCUCGCCGGAAGACCAAGGGUUCCUGUCCAACGUUAAUCGGGGCAGGGUGAGUCGACCCCUAAGGCGAGGCCGAAAGGCGUAGUCGAUGGGAAACAGGUUAAUAUUCCUGUACUUGGUGUUACUGCGAAGGGGGGACGGAGAAGGCUAUGUUGGCCGGGCGACGGUUGUCCCGGUUUAAGCGUGUAGGCUGGUUUUCCAGGCAAAUCCGGAAAAUCAAGGCUGAGGCGUGAUGACGAGGCACUACGGUGCUGAAGCAACAAAUGCCCUGCUUCCAGGAAAAGCCUCUAAGCAUCAGGUAACAUCAAAUCGUACCCCAAACCGACACAGGUGGUCAGGUAGAGAAUACCAAGGCGCUUGAGAGAACUCGGGUGAAGGAACUAGGCAAAAUGGUGCCGUAACUUCGGGAGAAGGCACGCUGAUAUGUAGGUGAAGUCCCUUGCGGAUGGAGCUGAAAUCAGUCGAAGAUACCAGCUGGCUGCAACUGUUUAUUAAAAACACAGCACUGUGCAAACACGAAAGUGGACGUAUACGGUGUGACGCCUGCCCGGUGCCGGAAGGUUAAUUGAUGGGGUCAGCGCAAGCGAAGCUCUUGAUCGAAGCCCCGGUAAACGGCGGCCGUAACUAUAACGGUCCUAAGGUAGCGAAAUUCCUUGUCGGGUAAGUUCCGACCUGCACGAAUGGCGUAAUGAUGGCCAGGCUGUCUCCACCCGAGACUCAGUGAAAUUGAACUCGCUGUGAAGAUGCAGUGUACCCGCGGCAAGACGGAAAGACCCCGUGAACCUUUACUAUAGCUUGACACUGAACAUUGAGCCUUGAUGUGUAGGAUAGGUGGGAGGCUUUGAAGUGUGGACGCCAGUCUGCAUGGAGCCGACCUUGAAAUACCACCCUUUAAUGUUUGAUGUUCUAACGUUGACCCCUAAUCGGGGUUGCGGACAGUGUCUGGUGGGUAGUUUGACUGGGGCGGUCUCCUCCUAAAGAGUAACGGAGGAGCACGAAGGUUGGCUAAUCCUGGUCGGACAUCAGGAGGUUAGUGCAAUGGCAUAAGCCAGCUUGACUGCGAGCGUGACGGCGCGAGCAGGUGCGAAAGCAGGUCAUAGUGAUCCGGUGGUUCUGAAUGGAAGGGCCAUCGCUCAACGGAUAAAAGGUACUCCGGGGAUAACAGGCUGAUACCGCCCAAGAGUUCAUAUCGACGGCGGUGUUUGGCACCUCGAUGUCGGCUCAUCACAUCCUGGGGCUGAAGUAGGUCCCAAGGGUAUGGCUGUUCGCCAUUUAAAGUGGUACGCGAGCUGGGUUUAGAACGUCGUGAGACAGUUCGGUCCCUAUCUGCCGUGGGCGCUGGAGAACUGAGGGGGGCUGCUCCUAGUACGAGAGGACCGGAGUGGACGCAUCACUGGUGUUCGGGUUGUCAUGCCAAUGGCACUGCCCGGUAGCUAAAUGCGGAAGAGAUAAGUGCUGAAAGCAUCUAAGCACGAAACUUGCC
rnacentral:rRNA from 1 species